CUAAGCUAGAUGGACCAGGGGCAUAAGGCAGCUUCCUCAGUGGAAUUUCAUUUUCUCCUCUUUUAAGCAUCCUGGCCAUCCACUUCCUUUGUUCUUUGCUGAGCGAAUUUCGGAUAAGCAUCGUAUUUGUGUCAUUGUAUCAUGACAUCAUUUUUGUGUGUGAGAGAGAUUCACCCCGAAAGUUGUUUGGCAGUCAGGUGUUCCACCCUUUCACUGUGCCAAAGAGUCUUGUGGCCGAGGGGUCACACUUCUCCAUACCAAACUGGUUCACAGUUAAAUCUGCCAUUAAAUCUAGUCCUGGUGUUGACACCCAAGUGGUAGGAAAGACUUCUCAUCCGCUUUGAUUGGUUUACCAGCGUGCAUCUCCUCUUGAGUAAUUACUUGGCCACAUCUGCAGCUGAUAACAUCCAAGCACUGUGGGGGGCUGCCUAGGAAGAACGUCCAAGCUACUGAAUAUGUAUCGGCAAUACUUGCAAGGCUACCACUGGGUUGCUGUUGGUUUCUGGGUGCAGUUCAAGGUGCUUCUCCUACUGUUUUUUAAAGCCCGAUUCCUUAAAGGGUACCUGAAGGAGCUCUGCUUCCUCCCAUAUGAACCUGCUGGUUCCUGGAGACCAGUGUCUUAAGGUCCAGCUCCUGGCACCUCACUGUCAUGGGUCAGGCAGGUGGUGAUUUGGGACAGGGUGUUUUCUGUGCUGGUGCCUUGCUGUUGUGAUACACUUUCAAGUGCAUCAACUUUUUUUUUUAAAUCAUGUUUUAGGUACCAAGUAACAACUGUAUUUCCCCCAACCCCCCUCACCUGUUUUUUGCUGUAUUUUGCGGCUGCUGCUAUUUGUCUUCCCUGCUUAGUUUGUAUUGUGCUUCUAUACUAUUUUAUUUUAGAUGGUAACUUGUCUUGCAGCCCUUGAGGUGAAUCGCAAAUGGUUUAAAGAAGAAAUAUUAAAAUAAAUGUUAACUCUGAUAGUUA